CGAUCUGUAACUGAGUUGAGGGAAGCAGGAGUGGUCCUCGAGAAAUCGCAGAACAACAGGGCACUAGACGUCCGAUCCGAGGGAAGGGUCCUGAAGAUUCCGCCCCUCCACAUAGACGAUCACAGAGGCACCUUGUUCCGCAACAUGGUGGCCUUCGAGCAAUGCCACAAGAAAUGCAAACCCGACGCCACAGCGUACCUGUUCUUCUUUGACGGGCUCGUGAACUCGGCGGACGAUGUGGAGAUCCUCCAUUACAAAGGCAUAGUCCACCACUCCCUCGGAAGUAACAAGGAGGCAGCGAAUCUGGUGAACAAGCUGUGCAGAGAAGUGGACUGGGACGGAGAAGAGUCGUACCUGCACAAAGUGGUGUGCGAAGACAUCGAUGUAUACUUCAUGAGUAGGUACGCGAAACUCAGAGCACGCCUUGUUCAUUACUACUUCAGCAACUGGGUGGUCGGGAUCUCGACCGUGGCGGGAUUGUUCGUGCUCUAUCUUACACUAAUCCAAACGGGUUGUGGAGUUGCCGAAACACUGAAAACUCUGAAGGAGAAUAGCUUCUGGUCAUACAUAAGUGAUUCCUUUAUUCUGCUCUUCUCGCGCCCCUCCACGCCAAUCGUUCAUAAGGACUCGAACAAGGGAUGAAGUUUAGAAAAUAUUCACUUAGUUCUCGAAAACAAAUUUGCAAGCUCUUCUGAAUGUGCCGUGGGUUGUGAUCCUGCAUUUCUUAAAGUCUUGUUCCUUCGUUUCAUGAUGAGUUAUGAUGAGUUACCAAUGAUCUUUCUUUAGAAUUCUAAUGUGAUGCAGGAUCGCUUGUAAGAGAGUUGAAAAAUCACUCGAAACGCCUCACAUUUCAUCCGCUCUAUAGGUAGCUAAUUAAGUCCCUGCUCAUCGAAUUAAAUUAAGACAACUCUUGUAUGUAAAGAUCAUUAACCGGCUUAAAGUUAGGAUCAAGAACUCCGGUACCAUUUCAAGAUGAAAAGGUGCUAUAUCCACCGAUAAAAUGCAAAUGGGACCCUGAGGGAAUAACUCGGUUGCAAUUGUCCAAAACUAAUUCUAAGCAGCCUUCAUAAAAAUGAGAUAUAAUAGACAUAGAGGACAUGCAUAGUCGGAAAACAAGAUACUGGUCUCCGCUUUACUCUAUGCAACCACACGAACUACCAUGUGUAUAUCAUUCAUUUAUAUGUCCAGGAAACGCUCGAGACGGAAUUACAAGAAUACGUCAAUGACAUCUAAAUAUUGUCUAUAGUUUUGAGGUUCACACCACCGUAUGCUGUGAUGUGGCAAUAAUUGUAUAAAGUUCUUAGCCCCACUUUGGCAAAUUUGCCAAAAAAAUUGUUUAGGUGAAUGUGACUUUUCUUUUUCUGAUCUGCCAAAUUCCCUUAAAAAUCAUUGAAUUUAGCUUGGUUCCCAAUUCUGGUCCAAAAUCAAUAUGGAGCUCUUUCCACACUAGUGUACGCUGCAAUAUUUUGUCUCCUAAUCGGUCACAUUUCAAUUUUGUUAUGUCAUAGUUAUGGACAAAGGCUAGGGUUCAACAUCAACCGUUCGAAAAGCUCCAUGCAAUUGGGUAAAAACUGGGGGGAAACUUCACGUGCAAUUUACCAACUAUAGUGUUUCCUCUUCAAGAAAAUCAAGUUUUUUAUGAUUGUCAUACAACAAACUCCACUCUUGGGAAUCCGACAACUAGUACGGGCCUGGUCAAUGUUAGUUUCUUAGCCCUUUUACCAACAACGGGAGAAAAAAAAAAAAAAAAAAAAAAAAGCACCUCUCGAAGUACUGAAAACCCUGGCAAUCAUUUCAGUCUUGUUACCCUUUGUUGGUCAACCUUACCAUGACCCUCCUCAAGGGUUCUAGCAAAGGGAUUCACCUUAUACACGAAACACACAAUGAAGUACGUGUGUCUCAUCAAUUGUAAGUGGGAAGUGAUUGCGGAGCGAGAGGGUCCAGAUAAAAGCAACUCAUGAGGCAAGCGUUUAGAAUGGCGAGGGGGGCAAAAGAUGAACCCAAUUCCACCGAAGAAGAGAAGAACAUUCUUGGAUUGUAUAUAUAUAAAACUAAAAUUAAUUCACAAGAGUCAUCUUUUAAUGUAACAGAAACGUUUGGCAGUGAAACUACAUUAUUGUGCUCGGGUAGGAAACCUCCUAGUAAAAUGCGUACAUGUACACCAAAGAAAAAGGGCAGGAUCGAUCACUUAGGUCAGAGGACCUAGACAAGAAGCGAUUCUUGGCAAAUUUCCAUAAUGACAAAGAGAGUAAGAAUGAUUAAAAUUGAGCACCAAACAAGGGGAGAGUGUUUAUGGAUUGUGUAUGUUGAGCAUGAAUUUAAUUCGACAUCUUUUGACAUGAUGGCAUUGAUGAUCUUCUAUGAAAACACCAAUUUGUAUGCCAAAAGACAAAUUGUAAACCUCACUAUGAGAGGGGACCAAAACACACAACAUUUCGAGUGAGUUAAAUUCAAGUAUGUCAGAUCAAUUGAAUUAAAAUGCAACUGAAGCAAGAUUUAUGAAAGAAAAGAGAGGAAACAAAUGAUGAAGAAGCUUCAUGCUACAAGCCAAAAAUGAGUUAGGCAUAGGAUCAAUUUAGUAAUUUGUGAAUCCCAGAUCUACGCUCUGGUCUUCUCCAUUAAAAGAUCAAGCUCUCAUUGACUUUGACAUAGUCGUUGUUUAGCAGUGGAACUAAAAUGUUAAGAGUGCUUGGGUAGGUGAGCUCUUGGGAAAAUGCAUACCUGUACGCCAAAGAACAAAGGGUAGGAUUGAUCAUUUGGGUGAGAAGGCCUAAACAGGGAGUGGUUCUCAACAUUUCUGUAAUGGCAAAGGGGGCAAGUAUGAAUAAAAUUGUGCACCAAACAAAGGAAGAGCGUUUAUGGAUUGUGUAUGUUGAACAGGAAUUUAAUUCAUAAGAUUUUUUGACAUGAUAGCAUUGUUAACCUUUUAGGAAAGCACCUAUCCAUAUGCCAAAAGACUAAUUGUAAACCUUACUAUGAGAUGGGACCAAAACAAACAAUACCUUGAGUGAGUUAACUUUAGGGUUGUUAGAUCAAUUGAAUGAAAAUGGGACUAAAGCAAGAAUUGUAAAAGAAAAUAGAGUGACUAAAUGAUGAAGAAACUUCAUGCUACAAGCUAGAAAUGAGUUAGGCAUGGGAUCAAUUUUGUAAUUUGUAAGCAUUUUCGGAUUGUGUAUGUUGAACAGAAAUUUUAUUCACGAGAGACAUCUUUUGAUAUGACAGCAUUGAUGACCAUCUAGGAAAGUGUUUAUCUAUAUGCCAAAAGAUAAAUUGUAAAUCUCAAUAUGAGACAAGACAAAAGCAGAUAAUAUCUUGAGUAAGUUAAAUUCAAGGGAGUCCGAUUAAUUGAAUUAAAAUGGGGAUUAAAGCAAGAACUGUAAAAGAAAAUAGAGCAAACAGAUGAUGAAGAAACUUAAUGCUAGAAGACAAAACUGAGUUAGGCACAGAAUUGAUUUAGUAAUUUGUGAAUGCCAGGUCUAGGCUCCGGUCUUCUUAUUUAGAAGAACACGCUUUUAUUGACUUAGAGAAGUCUAAUGCAGGGUGUAACGAACAAUUCAUCUCUGCAUUUCUCUGUCACCCAGAAAGAAAAUGAGAAAAAUGAAUUGACCUGUUGACUUCCAACUGCUUAAAGAGUCACUCCCACCUCCCUCCAAACCCAAGAACUCAAUUUUGCAGAUGGCAGGUAGAAACGUUUGGGGGUUGAAGCAGCUGUCUCUGCAGAUGUCAUGCAAGAAAAGAAACUUUGAAGCUAUCUUCAGGAGAUGUGCCUCGACCUCAUCACAAGUGCAUGGGAAUUGUAAAGCCUCCCUGCUGAAGAAAUUUAAUGCCAAGAUUCCUGAAGAGAGUAAAAAAGUCUGCAUCUACCGUGUCCCCGCAAAACUGCGUCAAGUAGAGGCAGAGGCGUAUGAUCCAAGCAUUGUAUCGGUUGGCCCUUAUCAUCGUGGAGAUCAACACUUGAAAGAAAUGGAGGAGGUAAAGCUAAAAUUCUUCCAGAGUUUUCUCAAGUCAAGACAAGAAGGUGAAGUCGAACUAGACAGAGUGAUUUCGGCAAUGGAGAAACUAGAGCCGAGGGCUAGGAGUCGUUAUGCAGACGAUGUUAAGCUGAGCAGAGAUGAAUUCAUUGAGAUGAUGACCAUCGAUGGUUGCUUCGUCCUGCAGCUCCUGAGGGAGGUUGGCGGCCGUUCUUCUUCAUCCCUCCUUCAAAGGUGGAUGUUGCCAACGCUGCGCCGCGAUUUAAUCAAGCUCGAAAACCAGCUCCCGAUGAUAGUUCUAGACGAAUUACUCGAUUUGGUCGAUGCCAAUUCUCAAUGUGAAUACUCGAUUCUUUCCCCACAGGACCUCGCGUUGAAGUUCUUCAAUCCGUUACUGCAGAGGGACUCACAUACAAAUGCUGCUGGUACCACCGGGAUGAAUGAGGCCUGUCACUUUCUUGAUCUAUUCCGCUCCAGCAUUCUCCCUGAGAUACAGGAUCAGGACCGGGAAAGGCAAGCGCGCAUGAUCCGAUCUGUAACUGAGUUGAGGGAAGCAGGAGUGGUCCUCGAGAAAUCGCAGAACAACAGGGCACUAGACGUCCGAUCCGAGGGAAGGGUCCUGAAGAUUCCGCCCCUCCACAUAGACGAUCACAGAGGCACCUUGUUCCGCAACAUGGUGGCCUUCGAGCAAAGCCACAAGAAAUGCAAACCCGACGCCACAGCGUACCUGUUCUUCUUUGACGGGCUCGUGAACUCGGCGGACGAUGUGGAGAUCCUCCAUUACAAAGGCAUAGUCCACCACUCCCUCGGAAGUAACAAGGAGGCAGCGAAUCUGGUGAACAAGCUGUGCAGAGAAGUGGAUUGGGACGGUGAAGA
rnacentral:lncRNA from 1 species